GAGCACGUAGGUGGGUUUGUAAGUCAGAUGUGAAAGCCUUCUGUUCAACGGAAGAGUUGCAUCUGAAACUGCGAGUCUUGAGUGUAGGAGGGGAGAAUGGAACUUCUGGUGGAGCGGUGAAAUGCGUAGAUAUCAGAAGGAACGCCGGCGGCGAAAGCGAUUCUCUGGCCUAUUACUGACACUCAGUGUGCGAAAGCUAGGGGAGCAAACGGGAUUAGAUACCCCGGUAGUCCUAGCCGUAAACGAUGGGCACUAAGUAGAGGGGUUUU
rnacentral:rRNA from 1 species